AGAUAUACCUAAUUAAUCAACUCAAAUAGAUAUAUGCCUUUAUUUUGGAAGCCAGUUGGGACCACAACAAUGAACAAUGAUAUCUUUUUCUGGAUACAAGAGCUUCAAUAGCGUCAAAUAGGCAAUUCCAGCUUUUAGUUUAUGCCUGCAGGGGAUGAUGGGAAGUAAGGUAUCAUAGUGCUGAUUAUGAUGAAAAUUUUCAAUAAAAACCACCGAAGCAACCAAAAUAUUUCAAUAUUUACAAGUAUAAGCUAUCACUCCGUGUUUACACAGCCACCAUUUUUAUUUUUUCAGCAUAAUCAGCAAUGUGAUACCUUACUUCCCAUCGUCCCUUGCACGCAUAAACUAAAAGCUGGAAUUUGCUAUUGUCCUGGUCUAAACUUUCAAUGUCCAAGUUCUAGUUUACAGCACCGUCUAUUGAAAUUCUUUCUGGAGUUGAAAUUCUUUUUGGAGGCAAUGUUCCACUUUCAACAGUUUCUCAUCAACUUUUGGUAGCAAUAGUAAUGGCAUCAUUGGAACAAUUUAUAUCAUUGCCAAAUGACACUUUGUAUUCUGUGUACAUUAGUUCAUACUAGAUUGACACAUCAUCCAUGGAAUUAUUCUGUAGAAUAAUUAAGAUAUAUGUAUGUUACCAUAGGAACCAUACUAUAGGUUCACCUGGCA